rnacentral:rRNA from 1 species
CAUAAGCCAGCUUGACUGCGAGCGUGACGGCGCGAGCAGGUGCGAAAGCAGGUCAUAGUGAUCCGGUGGUUCUGAAUGGAAGGGCCAUCGCUCAACGGAUAAAAGGUACUCCGGGGAUAACAGGCUGAUACCGCCCAAGAGUUCAUAUCGACGGCGGUGUUUGGCACCUCGAUGUCGGCUCAUCACAUCCUGGGGCUGAAGUAGGUCCCAAGGGUAUGGCUGUUCGCCAUUUAAAGUGGUACGCGAGCUGGGUUUAGAACGUCGUGAGACAGUUCGGUCCCUAUCUGCCGUGGGCGCUGGAGAACUGAGGGGGGCUGCUCCUAGUACGAGAGGACCGGAGUGGACGCAUCACUGGUGUUCGGGUUGUCAUGCCAAUGGCACUGCCCGGUAGCUAAAUGCGGAAGAGAUAAGUGCUGAAAGCAUCUAAGCACGAAACUUGCCCCGAGAUGAGUUCUCCCUGACCCUUUAAGGGUCCUGAAGGAACGUUGAAGACGACGACGUUGAUAGGCCGGGUGUGUAAGCGCAGCGAUGCGUUGAGCUAACCGGUACUAAUGAACCGUGAGGCUUAACCUUACAACGCCGAAGGUGUUU